CCUACGGGUUGCAGCAGUGGGGAAUAUUGCACAAUGGGCGCAAGCCUGAUGCAGCCAUGCCGCGUGUAUGAAGAAAGCCCUAGGGUUGUAAAGUACUUUCAGUCGGGAGGAAGGCGUUGAUGCUAAUAUCAUCAACGAUUGACGUUACCGACAGAAGAAGCACCGGCUAACUCCGUGCCAGCAGCCGCGGUAAUACGGAGGGUGCAAGCGUUAAUCGGAAUUACUGGGCGUAAAGCGCACGCAGGCGGUUGAUUGAGUCAGUUGUGAAAUCCCCGGGCUUAACCCGGGAAUUGCAUCUGAUACUGGUCAGCUAGAGUCUUGUAGAGGGGGGUAGAAUUCCAUGUGUAGCGGUGAAAUGCGUAGAGAUGUGGAGGAAUACCGGUGGCGAAGGCGGCCCCCUGGACAAAGACUGACGCUCAGGUGCGAAAGCGUGGGGAGCAAACAGGAUUAGAUACCCUCGUAGUC
rnacentral:rRNA from 1 species